CUGGAGCGGGGAGAGGAGAGAGGCUGGGAAAGGCUGGUGGGCGGAACAGCCAGAACACACAACGUUCAUAGAUGAAGGUUGCCGGGUCCGGUCUGUGGUGCCCAAAACAAUGACAAUGCUAACAUGGAGGAUCGCUGAUCACAGAUCACUGUAACAGGUGUCAUAACAAUAAAAAAGUCUGAAAGAUCGUGAGAACCACCAACACGUAACACAGAGAGAAUGCGAGGUGGCCACACACUUCCAACUGGUGAAAAAAAACGCAGCAUCUUUGAAGCUCAACUAAGCAUGGAGGUGCCGUAAAGCGAGGUACGCCUGCACAUGAGUGCCGUAAAGCAAGGUACGCCCGCAUCACAGGAGUGCCGUAAAGCGAGGAAAGACAGUUAUGUGCCCACCGAACAUAGAGGAAUCAUAUUGCAGACGGGCCGUAUAACCUUGCCAUGAUACGACGAAAGCUGACGGCAUGUGUACGCAAGCAACAGCCACUCAACAAACAUCUCCUAAGCUAUCACACACCAGAUGCAGGGGCGGGCACAGACUCCAGCACCCCCAGCUCCGUUACGAGUCGCCCAUGGAAAGGCAACGGGAUUCAACGAGGUGGGCAUGGGGCCAGGAGGCAGAUCUGGGUCCCGCGUCCAGACCUAAUCUCUAGGUGCCGCCACUUCCUUAUCUGUAAAAUGGGCAAGACACAGCUGCCCUGCGCAGUUCACAGGGCUGCCCCUGUGGAGUGACAAGAGAUACCAGAUAAAAAGAGCAUUUCACAAACAAUAACGCGUUCAGUCAAUCAGGCAAAAAAAAAAAAAGGGGCAGGGGCCAGGCUCAGUGGCUCACGCCUGCAAUCCCAGCACUUUGGGAGGCUGAGGUGGGUGGAUCACCUGAGGUCAGGAGUUCGAGACCAGCCUGGUCAACAUGGUGAAGCCCCGUCUCUACUAAAAAUACAAAAAUUAGGGCUGGGUGCAGUGGCUUCUGCCUGUAAUCCCAGCACUUUGGGAGGCCGGGGCGGGCAGAUCACCUGAGGUCAGGAGUUUGAGACCAACAUGGUGAAACCCUAUCUCUGCUAAAAAUACAAAAAUUAGCUGGGUGUGUGGCGGGCCCCUGUAAUUCCAGCUACUCGGGAGGCUGUGGCAGGAGAAUCACUUGAACCCAGG
rnacentral:lncRNA from 1 species